UCUCUGUUUUUGUAAACCCACAGUAACUGUGUCCGCCUGCACCAGACUUGCUCAAGAUCAAGCCAGUCAAUAUUCCAGCGCGGAGCUGCAUGAGCAUCCACAGUUAGCUGAGGGGUUGACAGUUAAUGAUUCCCGGGGAAAGGAAAGUCCAUUUUUCACUCCAGUAAGACAGGUGAACAUGGAACA